GGGUUGUGAGGUUAAGCGACUAAGCGUACACGGUGGAUGCCCUGGCAGUCAGAGGCGAUGAAGGGCGUGCUAAUCUGCGAUAAGCGCCGGUAAGGUGAUAUGAACCGUUAUAACCGGCGAUACCCGAAUGGGGAAACCCAGUGUGAUUCGUCACACUAUCAUUAACUGAAUCCAUAGGUUAAUGAGGCGAACCGGGGGAACUGAAACAUCUAAGUACCCCGAGGAAAAGAAAUCAACCGAGAUUCCCCCAGUAGCGGCGAGCGAACGGGGAGGAGCCCAGAGCCUGAAUCAGCAUGUGUGUUAGUGGAAGCGUCUGGAAAGGCGCGCGAUACAGGGUGACAGCCCCGUACACAAAAGCGCAUGUGCUGUGAGCUCGAUGAGUAGGGCGGGACACGUGGUAUCCUGUCUGAAUAUGGGGGGACCAUCCUCCAAGGCUAAAUACUCCUGACUGACCGAUAGUGAACCAGUACCGUGAGGGAAAGGCGAAAAGAACCCCGGCGAGGGGAGUGAAAAAGAACCUGAAACCGUGUACGUACAAGCAGUGGGAGCACCCUUUUGGGUGUGACUGCGUACCUUUUGUAUAAUGGGUCAGCGACUUAUAUUCUGUAGCAAGGUUAACCGAAUAGGGGAGCCGGAGGGAAACCGAGUCUUAAUUGGGCGUUAAGUUGCAGGGUAUAGACCCGAAACCCGGUGAUCUAGCCAUGGGCAGGUUGAAGGUUGGGUAACACUAACUGGAGGACCGAACCGACUAAUGUUGAAAAAUUAGCGGAUGACCUGUGGCUGGGGGUGAAAGGCCAAUCAAACCGGGAGAUAGCUGGUUCUCCCCGAAAGCUAUUUAGGUAGCGCCUCGUGAAUUCAUCUCCGGGGGUAGAGCACUGUUUCGGCUAGGGGGCCAUCCCGGCUUACCAACCCGAUGCAAACUGCGAAUACCGGAGAAUGUUAUCACGGGAGACACACGGCGGGUGCUAACGUCCGUCGUGAAGAGGGAAACAACCCAGACCGCCAGCUAAGGUCCCAAAGUCAUGGUUAAGUGGGAAACGAUGUGGGAAGGCACAGACAGCCAGGAUGUUGGCUUAGAAGCAGCCAUCAUUUAAAGAAAGCGUAAUAGCUCACUGGUCGAGUCGGCCUGCGCGGAAGAUGUAACGGGGCUAAACCAUGCACCGAAGCUGCGGCAGCGACGUUUAUGCGUUGUUGGGUAGGGGAGCGUUCUGUAAGCCUGCGAAGGUGGCCUGUGAGGGUUGCUGGAGGUAUCAGAAGUGCGAAUGCUGACAUAAGUAACGAUAAAGCGGGUGAAAAGCCCGCUCGCCGGAAGACCAAGGGUUCCUGUCCAACGUUAAUCGGGGCAGGGUGAGUCGACCCCUAAGGCGAGGCCGAAAGGCGUAGUCGAUGGGAAACGGGUUAAUAUUCCCGUACUUGGUGUUACUGCGAAGGGGGGACGGAGAAGGCUAUGUUGGCCGGGCGACGGUUGUCCCGGUUUAAGCGUGUAGGCUGGUUUUCCAGGCAAAUCCGGAAAAUCAAGGCUGAGGCGUGACGACGAGGCACUACGGUGCUGAAGCAACAAAUGCCCUGCUUCCAGGAAAAGCCUCUAAGCAUCAGGUAACAUCAAAUCGUACCCCAAACCGACACAGGUGGUCAGGUAGAGAAUACCAAGGCGCUUGAGAGAACUCGGGUGAAGGAACUAGGCAAAAUGGUGCCGUAACUUCGGGAGAAGGCACGCUGACACGUAGGUGAAGUGAUUUACUCAUGGAGCUGAAGUCAGUCGAAGAUACCAGCUGGCUGCAACUGUUUAUUAAAAACACAGCACUGUGCAAACACGAAAGUGGACGUAUACGGUGUGACGCCUGCCCGGUGCCGGAAGGUUAAUUGAUGGGGUCAGCGCAAGCGAAGCUCCUGAUCGAAGCCCCGGUAAACGGCGGCCGUAACUAUAACGGUCCUAAGGUAGCGAAAUUCCUUGUCGGGUAAGUUCCGACCUGCACGAAUGGCGUAAUGAUGGCCAGGCUGUCUCCACCCGAGACUCAGUGAAAUUGAACUCGCUGUGAAGAUGCAGUGUACCCGCGGCAAGACGGAAAGACCCCGUGAACCUUUACUAUAGCUUGACACUGAACAUUGAGCCUUGAUGUGUAGGAUAGGUGGGAGGCUUUGAAGCGUGGACGCCAGUCUGCGUGGAGCCGACCUUGAAAUACCACCCUUUAAUGUUUGAUGUUCUAACGUGGACCCGUAAUCCGGGUUGCGGACAGUGUCUGGUGGGUAGUUUGACUGGGGCGGUCUCCUCCUAAAGAGUAACGGAGGAGCACGAAGGUUGGCUAAUCCUGGUCGGACAUCAGGAGGUUAGUGCAAUGGCAUAAGCCAGCUUGACUGCGAGCGUGACGGCGCGAGCAGGUGCGAAAGCAGGUCAUAGUGAUCCGGUGGUUCUGAAUGGAAGGGCCAUCGCUCAACGGAUAAAAGGUACUCCGGGGAUAACAGGCUGAUACCGCCCAAGAGUUCAUAUCGACGGCGGUGUUUGGCACCUCGAUGUCGGCUCAUCACAUCCUGGGGCUGAAGUAGGUCCCAAGGGUAUGGCUGUUCGCCAUUUAAAGUGGUACGCGAGCUGGGUUUAGAACGUCGUGAGACAGUUCGGUCCCUAUCUGCCGUGGGCGCUGGAGAACUGAGGGGGGCUGCUCCUAGUACGAGAGGACCGGAGUGGACGCAUCACUGGUGUUCGGGUUGUCAUGCCAAUGGCACUGCCCGGUAGCUAAAUGCGGAAGAGAUAAGUGCUGAAAGCAUCUAAGCACGAAACUUGCCCCGAGAUGAGUUCUCCCUGAGACUUUAGGUCUCCUGAAGGAACGUUGAAGACGACGACGUUGAUAGGCCGGGUGUGUAAGCGCAGCGAUGCGUUGAGCUAACCGGUACUAAUGAACCGUGAGGCUUAACCUUACAACGCCGAAG
rnacentral:rRNA from 4 species